CUGUCUUCUGUGACGAACAAGUGCGUGAGUGGAAAGCUCGCACCCUGACGGUAACAGAGGAGGAAGCCACGGCUAACUACGUGCCAGCAGCCGCGGUAAUACGUAGGUGGCAAGCGUUGUCCGGAAUCACUGGGCGUAAAGCGCGCGCAGGCGGCGAUCUACGUCUGGGGUGAAAGCCCGGAGCUCAACUCCGGGACUGCCUUGGAUACGGGAUCGCUUGAGGAUUGGAGAGGCAAGGGGAAUUCCACGUGUAGCGGUGAAAUGCGUAGAUAUGUGGAGGAACACCUGUGGCGAAGGCGCCUUGCUGGCCAAUUUCUGACGCUGAGGCGCGAAAGCGUGGGGAGCAAACAGGAUUAGAUACCCUGGUAGUCCACGCCGUAAACGAUGAGUGCUAGGUGUUGGGGGGUACCACCCUCAGUGCCGAAGCUAACGCAUUAAGCACUCCGCCUGGGGAGUACGGUCGCAAGACUG
rnacentral:rRNA from 1 species